rnacentral:rRNA from 1 species
UGAUGCGUAGCCGAGCUGAGAGGUUGAUCGGCCACAUUGGGACUGAGACACGGCCCAAACUCCUACGGGAGGCAGCAGUAGGGAAUCUUCCACAAUGGGCGAAAGCCUGAUGGAGCAACGCCGCGUGGGUGAAGAAGGUCUUCGGAUCGUAAAACCCUGUUGUUAGAGAAGAAAGUGCGUGAGAGUAACUGUUCACGUUUCGACGGUAUCUAACCAGAAAGCCACGGCUAACUACGUGCCAGCAGCCGCGGUAAUACGUAGGUGGCAAGCGUUAUCCGGAUUUAUUGGGCGUAAAGGGAACGCAGGCGGUCUUUUAAGUCUGAUGUGAAAGCCUUCGGCUUAACCGGAGUAGUGCAUUGGAAACUGGGAGACUUGAGUGCAGAAGAGGAGAGUGGAACUCCAUGUGUAGCGGUGAAAUGCGUAGAUAUAUGGAAGAACACCAGUGGCGAAAGCGGCUCUCUGGUCUGUAACUGACGCUGAGGUUCGAAAGCGUGGGUAGCAAACAGGAUUAGAUACCCUGGUAGUCCACGCCGUAAACGAUGAAUGCUAAGUGUUGGAGGGUUUCCGCCCUUCA